rnacentral:rRNA from 1 species
GGGUUGUGAGGUUAAGCGACUAAGCGUACACGGUGGAUGCCCUGGCAGUCAGAGGCGAUGAAGGACGUGCUAAUCUGCGAUAAGCGUCGGUAAGGUGAUAUGAACCGUUAUAACCGGCGAUUUCCGAAUGGGGAAACCCAGUGUGUUUCGACACACUAUCAUUAACUGAAUCCAUAGGUUAAUGAGGCGAACCGGGGGAACUGAAACAUCUAAGUACCCCGAGGAAAAGAAAUCAACCGAGAUUCCCCCAGUAGCGGCGAGCGAACGGGGAGCAGCCCAGAGCCUGAAUCAGUUGUGAGCUCGAUGAGUAGGGCGGGACACGUGGUAUCCUGUCUGAAUAUGGGGGGACCAUCCUCCAAGGCUAAAUACUCCUGACUGACCGAUAGUGAACCAGUACCGUGAGGGAAAGGCGAAAAGAACCCCGGCGAGGGGAGUGAAAAAGAACCUGAAACCGUGUACGUACAAGCAGUGGGAGCACGCUUAGGCGUGUGACUGCGUACCUUUUGUAUAAUGGGUCAGCGACUUAUAUUCUGUAGCAAGGUUAACCGAAUAGGGGAGCCGAAGGGAAACCGAGUCUUAACUGGGCGUUAAGUUGCAGGGUAUAGACCCGAAACCCGGUGAUCUAGCCAUGGGCAGGUUGAAGGUUGGGUAACACUAACUGGAGGACCGAACCGACUAAUGUUGAAAAAUUAGCGGAUGACUUGUGGCUGGGGGUGAAAGGCCAAUCAAACCGGGAGAUAGCUGGUUCUCCCCGAAAGCUAUUUAGGUAGCGCCUCGUGAAUUCAUCUCCGGGGGUAGAGCACUGUUUCGGCAAGGGGGUCAUCCCGACUUACCAACCCGAUGCAAACUGCGAAUACCGGAGAAUGUUAUCACGGGAGACACACGGCGGGUGCUAACGUCCGUCGUGAAGAGGGAAACAACCCAGACCGCCAGCUAAGGUCCCAAAGUCAUGGUUAAGUGGGAAACGAUGUGGGAAGGCCCAGACAGCCAGGAUGUUGGCUUAGAAGCAGCCAUCAUUUAAAGAAAGCGUAAUAGCUCACUGGUCGAGUCGGCCUGCGCGGAAGAUGUAACGGGGCUAAACCAUGCACCGAAGCUGCGGCAGCGACACUAUGUGUUGUUGGGUAGGGGAGCGUUCUGUAAGCCUGUGAAGGUGUGCUGUGAGGCAUGCUGGAGGUAUCAGAAGUGCGAAUGCUGACAUAAGUAACGAUAAAGCGGGUGAAAAGCCCGCUCGCCGGAAGACCAAGGGUUCCUGUCCAACGUUAAUCGGGGCAGGGUGAGUCGACCCCUAAGGCGAGGCCGAAAGGCGUAGUCGAUGGGAAACAGGUUAAUAUUCCUGUACUUGGUGUUACUGCGAAGGGGGGACGGAGAAGGCUAUGUUGGCCGGGCGACGGUUGUCCCGGUUUAAGCGUGUAGGCUGGUUUUCCAGGCAAAUCCGGAAAAUCAAGGCUGAGGCGUGAUGACGAGGCACUACGGUGCUGAAGCAACAAAUGCCCUGCUUCCAGGAAAAGCCUCUAAGCAUCAGGUAACAUCAAAUCGUACCCCAAACCGACACAGGUGGUCAGGUAGAGAAUACCAAGGCGCUUGAGAGAACUCGGGUGAAGGAACUAGGCAAAAUGGUGCCGUAACUUCGGGAGAAGGCACGCUGAUAUGUAGGUGAAGUCCCUCGCGGAUGGAGCUGAAAUCAGUCGAAGAUACCAGCUGGCUGCAACUGUUUAUUAAAAACACAGCACUGUGCAAACACGAAAGUGGACGUAUACGGUGUGACGCCUGCCCGGUGCCGGAAGGUUAAUUGAUGGGGUUAGCCGCAAGGCGAAGCUCUUGAUCGAAGCCCCGGUAAACGGCGGCCGUAACUAUAACGGUCCUAAGGUAGCGAAAUUCCUUGUCGGGUAAGUUCCGACCUGCACGAAUGGCGUAAUGAUGGCCAGGCUGUCUCCACCCGAGACUCAGUGAAAUUGAACUCGCUGUGAAGAUGCAGUGUACCCGCGGCAAGACGGAAAGACCCCGUGAACCUUUACUAUAGCUUGACACUGAACAUUGAGCCUUGAUGUGUAGGAUAGGUGGGAGGCUUAGAAGUGUGGACGCCAGUCUGCAUGGAGCCGACCUUGAAAUACCACCCUUUAAUGUUUGAUGUUCUAACGUUGACCCGUAAUCCGGGUUGCGGACAGUGUCUGGUGGGUAGUUUGACUGGGGCGGUCUCCUCCUAAAGAGUAACGGAGGAGCACGAAGGUUGGCUAAUCCUGGUCGGACAUCAGGAGGUUAGUGCAAUGGCAUAAGCCAGCUUGACUGCGAGCGUGACGGCGCGAGCAGGUGCGAAAGCAGGUCAUAGUGAUCCGGUGGUUCUGAAUGGAAGGGCCAUCGCUCAACGGAUAAAAGGUACUCCGGGGAUAACAGGCUGAUACCGCCCAAGAGUUCAUAUCGACGGCGGUGUUUGGCACCUCGAUGUCGGCUCAUCACAUCCUGGGGCUGAAGUAGGUCCCAAGGGUAUGGCUGUUCGCCAUUUAAAGUGGUACGCGAGCUGGGUUUAGAACGUCGUGAGACAGUUCGGUCCCUAUCUGCCGUGGGCGCUGGAGAACUGAGGGGGGCUGCUCCUAGUACGAGAGGACCGGAGUGGACGCAUCACUGGUGUUCGGGUUGUCAUGCCAAUGGCACUGCCCGGUAGCUAAAUGCGGAAGAGAUAAGUGCUGAAAGCAUCUAAGCACGAAACUUGCCCCGAGAUGAGUUCUCCCUGACUCCUUGAGAGUCCUGAAGGAACGUUGAAGACGACGACGUUGAUAGGCCGGGUGUGUAAGCGCAGCGAUGCGUUGAGCUAACCGGUACUAAUGAACCGUGAGGCUUAACCUUACAACGCCGAAGGUGUUU